rnacentral:rRNA from 1 species
GCUCAAAUUUGAAAUCUGGUAGCCUUCGGUUGCCCGAGUUGUAAUCUAGAGAAGUGUUUUCCGCGUUGGCCCAUGUACAAGUCCCUUGGAACAGGGCGUCAUAGAGGGUGAGAAUCCCGUCCUUGACAUGGACCCCCAAUGCUUUGUGAUACACUUUCAACGAGUCGAGUUGUUUGGGAAUGCAGCUCAAAAUGGGUGGUGAAUUCCAUCUAAAGCUAAAUACUGGCGAGAGACCGAUAGCGAACAAGUACCGUGAGGGAAAGAUGAAAAGCACUUUGGAAAGAGAGUUAAACAGUACGUGAAAUUGUUGAAAGGGAAACGAUUGAAGUCAGUCAUGCUCUUUGGAUUAAGCCGUUCUGCGGUGUAUUUCAUUGAGCGGGGUCAACAUCAGUUUUGAUCGCUGGAAAAGGGCAGGAGGAAGGUAGCACUCUCGGGUGAACUUAUAGCCUCUUGUCGUAUACAGUGAUUGGGACUGAGGAACGCAGCAUGCCUUUUGGCCGGGAUUCGUCCACGUACA